GACGAACGCUGGCGGCGUGCUUAACACAUGCAAGUCGAACGCUGAUCCGCUUUCGGGUGGUGAUGAGUGGCGAACGGGUGAGUAACACGUGGGUAAUCUGCCCUGCACUCUGGGAUAAGCCUUGGAAACGGGGUCUAAUACCGGAUAUCACAAUCUCUCGCAUGGGGGGUUGUUGAAAGUUCUGGCGGUGCAGGAUGAACCCGCGGCCUAUCAGCUUGUUGGUGGGGUAGNGGCCUACCAAGGCGACGACGGGUAGCCGGCCUGAGAGGGUGACCGGCCACACUGGGACUGAGACGCGGCCCAGACUCCUACGGGAGGCAGCAGUGGGGAAUAUUGCACAAUGGGCGGAAGCCUGACGCAGCGACGCCGCGUGAGGGAUGACGGCCU
rnacentral:rRNA from 1 species